CUCUAUAUUAAAAUAAUAUAAUAUUAGAUUGCAAAUCUGAAGUUGUGAUAAUUCACUGGGGCUUGU
rnacentral:tRNA from 1 species